rnacentral:rRNA from 1 species
UCCUACGGGAGGCAGCAGUGGGGAAUAUUGCGCAAUGGACGAAAGUCUGACGCAGCGACGCCGCGUGUGGGAUGAAGCUCUUCGGGGUGUAAACCACUGUUGCCCGGGACGAACCUCCCCUUUCGAGGGGACUGACGGUACCGGGUGAGGAAGCACCGGCUAACUCUGUGCCAGCAGCCGCGGUAAUACAGAGGGUGCGAGCGUUGUCCGGAAUCACUGGGCGUAAAGGGCGCGUAGGUGGCUUGGUAAGCGUGCGGUGAAAGCUCGGGGCUCAACCCCGAGUCUGCCGUGCGAACUGCCGAGCUUGAGCAUGGUAGAGGCAGGUGGAAUUCCGGGUGUAGCGGUGGAAUGCGUAGAUAUCCGGAAGAACACCGGUGGCGAAGGCGGCCUGCUGGGCCAUUGCUGACACUGAGGCGCGACAGCGUGGGGAGCAAACAGGAUUAGAUACCCGGGUAGUCC